rnacentral:rRNA from 1 species
UACGAAGGACCCAAGCGUUAUCCGGAUUUAUUGGGUUUAAAGGGUGCGUAGGCGGAUUAUUAAGUCUGUGGUGAAAGCCUGCAGCUUAACUGCAGAACUGCCAUUGAUACUGAUGAUCUUGAGUAUGAUUGAGGUGGGCGGAAUGUGUCAUGUAGCGGUGAAAUGCUUAGAUAUGACACAGAACACCGAUUGCGAAGGCAGCUCACUAAGCCAUAACUGACGCUGAUGCACGAAAGCGUGGGGAGCAAACAGG